UUUUACAAAGAGGAAUACAGGUUACAACAACACGUGGAUAUUUAUUCUUAGAUGUUUGGUAGCCAAAAUCAUGGAUAUCUCCGUCGUUUCCCAAAUUCUUAGAAUUCCUUCCUCUCUUAUCUCUUCUCCGUCCAAAUUUUACUAAGAAACUUUUAGCCCUAAAAUUCCAAACCAUCUGUAUACAUACACAGACAGAGAGCUCAAUUUCUUUUUUGCUGAAUCAAAAUGUUGUUGUACCUAAUCUCUUCAUUUACAUUAUCUUUCUCAUUUCCAUCAUUUUCUUCUCAAAGUUCCCCUAACCCUAACAUUUCCCCAACAUUUUCAUCUUCGUUUUUCAAAUUCGCCAAAAAAACUCAAGUAAAUUAGGCUUUAAACGAAUCUACUUUUCACUGAUUCGUCAUUAAUUCAUCAUUCUAUAAUCUCCAAUUAUUUCGUAUCCAUGGAAACUUUUUUGCAACUUAGAAUUGAAGUCCUUGUUUCAGUGAUUGAUUUCAUUUUGUUUCUUCUCGCACAGAAAAUUAUCAUUUUGUUGGAGUUUGGAUAUGUUUGCUCUAACUACUUAUUUGUCAGGUUGAAGAAUCUAAGUAAAUGAAGCCGAAACAAUCCAGAGAAUGGAGCUUUUAAUUCUAUCAACACUUGAAUGGAAGAUGAAUCCAGCAACUCUUAUUUCAUUGCUUGAUCACAUUAUUAGAAGAUUUGGAUUCCAAGUUUUUUCAUUACCUUCCAUCAGUUUUAGUUGCGGCAGUAAUGCUAAAUGUUAUUGAUGAGGUUGAAACUGAAAACCCAAUGGAAUAUCAACACCAACACAUGACUGCUCUUAAACUCACAAAGGAGGAUGUAAAUGAGUGUUAUCAGUUCCUAAUGAAGUGGGCAUUUAGCUGCAAUUUCAAUUAAACGAAAGUAUGCUUUUAGUAGUUUUACUUAUUGUUAGUAUCUAUGUUACUGAGGAGGGAGCUGAUGAGUGUCAAGAUUUGGCAGUUUCAGGAAGAGAGAACUGUUAGAUCAGGGGCUUUUUCUGCCGGUAGGGUGUGAAUGUUGGCAAGUCACUUGAGAACCUCAACAAUUGGCAAGAGUCUUUACUUCAGGUGAUGAAAAGAACGGUCAUUUGAGAAAACUGAAGAAAGUUGCUGAGAACAACCUUUGUGCUGCCAUUGUAGAAUGCGAUGGAGUUUUCCACGUUGCGAGUCCAGUUCCUGGCGAUCGCGUAGCCAAUCCUGAGGCCACAACCCUGUAACCGCAAUUGAAGAGACCGAUUUUGGAAGAUCCACAAAGAAUAGUGCGGCUGCACCAUUGAUUCAGCUGUUUUGGCUGUGAAUCAUUGUGUGAAAAAUGAGAGAUGAAUCUUCUGGUAGUUGAAUUUGAAUCCGAGAACAACAAGAAAUGGUGGAUGAAUUAUGUAAAAGACGGUUUAUUUCAAGGGUUCCGUUGAAGCAGAUAAGGCAGAAAAGAAGAAUCAUCAAUGGGUUAUGUAAAUGGUUAUUAAUCUGUGUAGGGGUACGGCGAAUUGAAGAAUUAGGUCAUCAAUUGGAAGAACCGAAGAUGAAUUAGGGGUUUCUGCUGCUGUAGCUAAGAACAGAUAUCUUAGGGUUUGAAUUGGUUUUCUGGCUUCAUGUGAAAUCUCAGAAGACUAAGUUGAGAUUUGGGUUUUGUAGUGGUUGAUAAUGGAAGAGAUGAUGCCAAAACAUGGUGGUGCUGUUCUGGUAAAGAUGUAGGAUGGAAUUGCAGUUGGUUGAGGUUCUGAUUGUACUCGAAUUGGUGAAGCUGCAAAGGAAGAUUACAGGGAAAGAUGGAAUGAAUCUGGAAGAGGUUCGCCAAUAAAUAUUCCUGUGCUUUUCAGGAUCUGAAAUUGAGAUUACAAAAUGGAAAGAGUAUAAGAUUUUGUUAUCAGGCACAAAGAAGAAAAGGGAUUUACUCAGGAUCCCCUUUGGGUUUUUCAGUUAAGCCUUCCGUCCCUUCACAGUCAAGAACCGAGCCAUUCACCAGUGUGUUCACCACUAUCACCAGGGCCUGCUCUUCCUGCUAAUGCAUACCUUCAAGCUUCAGGUUCUUUGGCGAGGAAGCAAGGGCAAUAUUUCCACCAGUCGUUCAAGCCAGUGAGUUUGUCACCUCCACCUCCUAAUCAAGAGGCCUUCUGUUGGUGCAAGAUUUCUCAACAUCAUGAUGGGGCAUCAACUUGAAUGGAGGCAUUCCAGGUGGAUUUAAAUUCUGCAGGUUUUCGCUGGAAAAGUGUGGAAUAUUCCCAGCAUCAUCUGGAUUUAACUUGUCUGCAACAAGAUUCAUAUAUAAAUCAGAGCCAUGUGCAAGGAUAAAUGGAACAAAAGCAUGUGAAAAACAAAGUAAGAUUCGUACCUCUACCAAGAACUUUGCAAAAGAUACACUAUCAGCUUCAAGCGCAUCCAGCCUCAUAUUUUGGUGCAGCGCCAAUACAGUGACGUCAUUCCAAAGUACUGAUCUCCUCAGACAUGCUGCAACCACUUCUUCGCGACAUCCACCGGCUACAACAGGCAAUGUCUGCCUAAAGUCUCCUCCUAGAACAACGCAUUUUAGACUCUGGAUCUUGUUUGUCAACCCCAGAAACACUGUUUUCGGCAAUUUCAAAGGGAAUCUUGAACGUCGAGUGCGCUGUAUGACCUCCUACCAGCAGUAGUGAAGCAAUGCCAGACGAAGCAGCAGUUAAAACUAUGUUCCCAUCCCUGCGGCAGCUAUUUGCUAAUGUGUUAUACGGAAAUGUUUUACCGCUUCCCGCACUGCCAUUUAGAAAAAACAGUUUAACCUCACCAUCUCUUACCGAAUUAAACACGGCGUUGUACGCUGAUGUCUGUGCAGGAUUCAACUUCCUGAUGCUCUCUUCGACCUCAGCAUCACUCACUGCAAGUUGUAGACACCGAUACUCCCACAUAUACUUGUCACCAACAGCAUCACUCCAUGUUAGUUUUGAUCUUGGCAUGUCCUCAAAAUCUUCGAGCGACUUGCCAGAUUCACGCAAUUGUUCAUCCAAAAGAUAAGGAUUGUAUGGAACCACAUUUGUGUUGUUCGCUUUGAAUGCAGUUCGUACCAAUACCUCCUUCCCAUUAUCGCGGUGACGAUAUAUUGGAUAUCCGCCUUCGUCCAUACUUGUACACUCGGACCAUCCAGGAAUAUAAGAGCAUGCAUAUGAGGCCAACGCGGAUUCGGGGUCAUUGUUAAGAAGAUAUCUGGAUGAUGAUUAAACCGGGUAAUGACCAUUGAAUCUUGAUAAAUCUCAUACAUAUGCCUAGGACCACCUCGAUGGUAAUACAUAUGGCUUACCCAAGUCUUCGGGAGUUAGCCCGGAUUCCGCCGAGGCCUUUAUAUGUUCAUACGAAUCUGCUUGCAGCUUAUCCUGGUUUAUCUUAAGACAAUACAGACGGUUCUGUUCUGUUGAUGCCCAAGCGUCCACCAGGGUCCAGCUGCUUCAUAUCAGGAUGCCAACCCAUCUCGCCGUAUGGAAACAGUAAAACAUAAUGCAGGGGAAAGUAUGCAGGGUGACACUCUGAAAUACGUUUGAAUCCAUUUCUCCCCUUGCGGUGAAGUAUUAUAUCUCUGAAGUCAGGCUUCUGAGAACCAUCUCCGGGUAAUAUUACAGAGAUUUCAUCGGCCGUUGGUAGGUUAUAACGCCUUUCAUCUGUAGAUUGCUCGUAGUACAUGAUGACUUUGACACUAUUGUCUGUGGAGUCAGCAUUGCUCAGAAGUUCUCGUGCCUGGUAAUAUUUAUCGCAAAAAACAUUAUGUUCUGAGAUAAUUUUCUGGACCUUUUUAAGAACUUCUUUAUCCAGCUUGGGAUUCCGUGUUGCACGAACAGCCAAUGCCUGAUCUGGGUCAUAGAAAUACAGCUGAUGAUACAUUGGGUCUUUACCCUCGUCUGGUAGUAAAGUUCCGGAAUUAUGUCGAAGUUCACCAUGAAUUGCAAAACCUUUUGGGCCCUUCCCCUUCAGGACCCUCUUAUCCGGUUUACAACCGAGACUGGUAUAGGCGUUUGAAGCAUUGUACUCCCGCAUGUGAUCUCUGUAAAACCUCGACUCGGCAUCGUCUCCUUCAAGUAAAUCCAUUAGUUCUUUUGGAGGCUCCAGCAGCGCAGGGAGUAUUACUUUUCCUUUGCGGAAACAUCUUGAAAAUUUUGGAUUCUUCUUGGAUGAGUCGGUUGUCCUCUCAUCAAUCCAAUGCAGUGCUCCACAUGAAGAACAUUCUAUAUCCAUUUCACCAAGGUGAUCUAUUAGCUGCUGAGAAAACUGAAGAACAUUCAACUCUUUAAGGUAGAGUUGCUUGAUUACAACAUCCUAUGUGCUGCCAUUGUAGAAUGCAAUGGAGUUUUCCACGUUGCCAGUCCAGUUCCUGCCUAUUGCAUAGCCAAUCAUGAGGUUAAGAUCGUCGUGCUCUUGGGAACCUACUUGCUGGGCAACGCUUUGAUUCUGAAUAAAAGACCAUCAAACAAAUUGGCUUGUGAGAAGAAAAUUUUGAUGCUGAUGUAAAUUAAAGUUAGGGUUUAUAAAUUAAAGUUAGGGGUUUUACCGAGUAUGCGUCUCUCUGUUGUUCCUGCCUUUUUUUCUCCCAUCGUUUCAGCUGGCCCAAGGACCUUUUAUUACAAAGGUCAACAUCAACGGCAUCUAUAUGUUGUUCUGCAUCUGUAUGUUGUUCUGGAUUCUGGCUACUCUGAAUAAGUUGUUCCUGUUUUUUUUUCCCGCAUCGUUUCCGUUGGCCUAAGGAUGCUUUACUGCUAACAUUGAGAUAAGCACCUUUUGGUGCAUACUUGCUGCAGGAACUGAUUUAAAACUGAUGGAACUGUUUUUAUUGUAAAACUGGGAGGUGCUUCGUAUAAAUCAAGAACUGAUAGAAUUGUUUUUAUGGUAAAACUGUGAGGUGAUAUAUAUGGUAAAUCUCGUUUUGUGGGAA